rnacentral:misc_RNA from 1 species
UGGCUCUCGCAUCGAUGAAGAACGCAGCGAAAUGCGAUAAGUAAUGUGAAUUGCAGAAUUCAGUGAAUCAUCGAAUCUUUGAACGCACCUUGCGCUCCUUGGUAUUCCGAGGAGCAUGCCUGUUUGAGUGUCUUGAAGUCAUCAACCCCGACCGUUUCGCGCGGUCGGACGUUGGAUAUGGGGGCUCUGCUGCCGUGAGGCGGCUCCCCUCAAAUGCAUCGGUUGGGCCUGUGGGUCGAACUCGACUGGGCGUUGUACCAUCCUCGCUCUACAGAGACGUUCCCCUUCCGUGCCCCUCCCCGGCUUAGCCUUCUCAGAGUGGCGGCCAACGUAUUUGAAAUCUGACCUCAAAUCAGGUAGGACUACCCGCUGA